rnacentral:Y_RNA from 1 species
GGCUGGUCCGAAGAUAGCGAGUUAUCUCAAUUGAUUGUUCACAGUCAGUUACAGAUCAAACUCCUUGUUCUACUCUUUCCCCGCCUUCUCACUACUGCACUUGACUAGUCUUAA